rnacentral:rRNA from 1 species
UUGAACGCUGGCGGCAGGCCUAACCCAUGCAAGUCGAGCGGAUGAAGGGAGCUUGCUCCUGGCUUCAGCGGCGGACGGGUGAGUAAUGCCUAGGAAUCUGCCUGGUAGUGGGGGAUAACGUCCGGAAACGGGCGCUAAUACCGCAUACGUCCUGAGGGAGAAAGUGGGGGAUCUUCGGACCUCACGCUAUCAGAUGAGCCUAGGUCGGAUUAGCUAGUUGGUGGGGUAAAGGCCUACCAAGGCGACGAUCCGUAACUGGUCUGAGAGGAUGAUCAGUCACACUGGAACUGAGACACGGUCCAGACUCCUACGGGAGGCAGCAGUGGGGAAUAUUGGACAAUGGGCGAAAGCCUGAUCCAGCCAUGCCGCGUGUGUGAAGAAGGUCUUCGGAUUGUAAAGCACUUUAAGUUGGGAGGAAGGGCAGUAAGUUAAUACCUUGCUGUUUUGACGUUACCAACAGAAUAAGCACCGGCUAACUUCGUG